UGUUCGGAUCCCGGCGACGUGAGCGGUUCGCUGCCCGCGACGUCGCGAGAAGUCCACUGAACCUUAUCAUUUAGAGGAAGGAGAAGUCG
rnacentral:rRNA from 1 species